rnacentral:rRNA from 1 species
GCCUGCGCGGAAGAUGUAACGGGGCUAAACCAUGCACCGAAGCUGCGGCAGCGACGCUUAUGCGUUGUUGGGUAGGGGAGCGUUCUGUAAGCCUGUGAAGGUGUGCUGUGAGGUAUGCUGGAGGUAUCAGAAGUGCGAAUGCUGACAUAAGUAACGAUAAAGCGGGUGAAAAGCCCGCUCGCCGGAAGACCAAGGGUUCCUGUCCAACGUUAAUCGGGGCAGGGUGAGUCGACCCCUAAGGCGAGGCCGAAAGGCGUAGUCGAUGGGAAACAGGUUAAUAUUCCUGUACUUGGUGUUACUGCGAAGGGGGGACGGAGAAGGCUAUGUUGGCCGGGCGACGGUUGUCCCGGUUUAAGCGUGUAGGCUGGUUUUCCAGGCAAAUCCGGAAAAUCAAGGCCGAGGCGUGAUGACGAGGCACUACGGUGCUGAAGCAACAAAUGCCCUGCUUCCAGGAAAAGCCUCUAAGCAUCAGGUAACAUCAAAUCGUACCCCAAACCGACACAGGUGGUCAGGUAGAGAAUACCAAGGCGCUUGAGAGAACUCGGGUGAAGGAACUAGGCAAAAUGGUGCCGUAACUUCGGGAGAAGGCACGCUGAUACGUAGGUGAAGCGACUUGCUCGUGGAGCUGAAAUCAGUCGAAGAUACCAGCUGGCUGCAACUGUUUAUUAAAAACACAGCACUGUGCAAACACGAAAGUGGACGUAUACGGUGUGACGCCUGCCCGGUGCCGGAAGGUUAAUUGAUGGGGUUAGCGCAAGCGAAGCUCUUGAUCGAAGCCCCGGUAAACGGCGGCCGUAACUAUAACGGUCCUAAGGUAGCGAAAUUCCUUGUCGGGUAAGUUCCGACCUGCACGAAUGGCGUAAUGAUGGCCAGGCUGUCUCCACCCGAGACUCAGUGAAAUUGAACUCGCUGUGAAGAUGCAGUGUACCCGCGGCAAGACGGAAAGACCCCGUGAACCUUUACUAUAGCUUGACACUGAACAUUGAGCCUUGAUGUGUAGGAUAGGUGGGAGGCUUUGAAGUGUGGACGCCAGUCUGCAUGGAGCCGACCUUGAAAUACCACCCUUUAAUGUUUGAUGUUCUAACGUGGACCCGUGAUCCGGGUUGCGGACAGUGUCUGGUGGGUAGUUUGACUGGGGCGGUCUCCUCCUAAAGAGUAACGGAGGAGCACGAAGGUUGGCUAAUCCUGGUCGGACAUCAGGAGGUUAGUGCAAUGGCAUAAGCCAGCUUGACUGCGAGCGUGACGGCGCGAGCAGGUGCGAAAGCAGGUCAUAGUGAUCCGGUGGUUCUGAAUGGAAGGGCCAUCGCUCAACGGAUAAAAGGUACUCCGGGGAUAACAGGCUGAUACCGCCCAAGAGUUCAUAUCGACGGCGGUGUUUGGCACCUCGAUGUCGGCUCAUCACAUCCUGGGGCUGAAGUAGGUCCCAAGGGUAUGGCUGUUCGCCAUUUAAAGUGGUACGCGAGCUGGGUUUAGAACGUCGUGAGACAGUUCGGUCCCUAUCUGCCGUGGGCGCUGGAGAACUGAGGGGGGCUGCUCCUAGUACGAGAGGACCGGAGUGGACGCAUCACUGGUGUUCGGGUUGUCAUGCCAAUGGCACUGCCCGGUAGCUAAAUGCGGAAGAGAUAAGUGCUGAAAGCAUCUAAGCACGAAACUUGCCCCGAGAUGAGUUCUCCCUGACCCUUUAAGGGUCCUGAAGGAACGUUGAAGACGACGACGUUGAUAGGCCGGGUGUGUAAGCGCAGCGAUGCGUUGAGCUAACCGGUACUAAUGAACCGUGAGGCUUAACCUUACAACGCCGAAG